rnacentral:snRNA from 1 species
CGUGUCGUUGGCUAAGUCCGUUCGGCGGA